UACGAGGGGUGCAAGCGUUGCUCGGAAUUAUUGGGCGUAAAGGGUUGGUAGGUGGUCUUGUUUGUCUAGGGUGAAAUCCCAUGGCUUAACUGUGGAAAGUGCCCUAGAAACGGCAAGACUAGAGUCCGUAGAGGGGUUUGUGGAAUUCCCGGUGUAGCGGUGAAAUGCGUAGAGAUCGGGAGGAACACCAGUGGCGAAGGCGGCUAACUGGUCCAGAUCUGACGCUGGAGGUGCGAAAGCGUGGGGAGCAAACAGG
rnacentral:rRNA from 1 species